GCCCCGAUAGCUCAGUCGGUUAGAGCAACGAACUCAUAAUUCGUCGGUCCCGGGUUCAAGCCCCGGUCGGGGCA
rnacentral:tRNA from 1 species